GGGCUAGGGCAGUUGGGGCUUGUAUAAAUCCAGGAAGUUGAGUACAAGAGGGGGCUGUAAGGAGGUGCUUUCCAAUCACCUCCUAAAGAAAAAUGAUGUUGGCUGUGGGCAAGGUGGUGUUGAAGGGGGAGACUACAGAGUCUGGCAAGAAACUGGGGGGAGUAGACACUGGGAGCAGAGGAAGCUUGGGCUUAUAAACUUAGAGGUUGGCUAGGAGUUACAAAAAUGAAGUUUUUUUUUUUUUAAAAAAGCCCAAGGAAACAGAGGUAGGGACUGAGAUUGAGUAGAUUAUGGUUGCUUGGCACAGAGUCCCUGAGUUGGAAAUUAGCGGAACCUAGACUAGUACGCAAGUCCAUCAGUCACUGGGUAGCACAGGGCCUGGAUUUGAACUGGCAGACUGCCUGGCGUGGUGUAGGGACUGCUUGUCCAGAGGGUCUUUGACAGCCCUAAAGGGGAGGACUAAACAGUGACCUAUCUAGAGGGCCAAGUCACAAGGAAGGAGCACCAUGAGCCCUAGAAAGAGAGAGAGGAGCACUGUGGCGUGAGCAACUGAUGGAAAGAGGUGCCAGACUGGGACAGUAAAACCAAAGCAAUAGCUCCAAUACUCUGAGAUGUCACAAGCCAUUUCUGUGUGAAUGAGUAUAAUACCAGAAAAAGAGGAGGCUAUCCUUAGCUUUAUCUCUCCAUGGUACAGUCAUUGAAAAUCAAAGGAAGGCUUAAAAUGGAGGAAAGCAAUUGCAUCAGAAAUAAGUUUAUUAAAGAUCUUCAGAAGCAGAAGAAUAUGUGAGGGAAAGACAUUUAGCUACACCUUGACAGAAGUUUUUCACGGAACUUCCUCCCAAAUGCCUUUCUGGGUAUGUUCCUUUAAUGUGACAGAGGCAAACAGCUGCAGCCCUAAGGAGCAAUUUUGUCGCUAGCUGUUCUUUCCGCCCUCUCUCUCUCUCUCUCUCGUUCUCAACUGACACCUUGACACUGACCAGAGCUGCCACUUGGUCUGCCAAAGUCACAAUGUGACCACCCAUCUGAAGAAACUUGUGGGGCCUGCUGUCUCUCCUCCCUUGCCCCCAGCCAUAAGUGUCUGAAUCUCAUCACCUCUCCCUGAAUGGCAAUCAGAGCCAGGGUCUCAGCACAGCUCCCAAGUGACUGUUCAAGGCUGACCAGCAAGACUCCUAGGGGGUACAAACCUGAGGAGUCAAGUGGAGUCAUGACCCCAAAAGCCAAUAUCUGUUCAGGACUCAGACCCUGAUGCUCGCUAGGUAGAAGGAGAGCUGCCCUUCAGCAACCAACCCAAUUCCUGAGCAGCAACCCAGACUAUGACUGAGAAGGUGGCUCCUCUAGAAGGAACCUCAGAAGUACCUGUAUCAACCAGAGCCCCAAGGACAGGACCUUAUCAGUAGAUGAGUGGCUGGAAAACCUGAUGGGGAGAAAAUGGGAAAACUCCAGGAUAGAAUGUCUUCUGGAUGUCACAAAAUGCAGAGAGGUGGAACUUGUAUUUGAAGGCUGAGAGGGAAUCCAACAAGGACCCUGUGGCCCAGAGAUCUUAUGUUUUACUUGCGCUAACCUGCUUAAGCCAAUGUCUUAAAAGUAUUCAAGGGAGACAGUUGCAGUGACAAAUGACAGGCAAUGCAGUACAACAAACCAACACCCAGCCAUGUUAUGCAGCCCUGGACAAUAUGGGCUACUAAGAACAACUCCUCCUUGCUGUAUCCCCUGCAGUACUGUUCCCAAGGCCAAGAUGUUUAGUCAUCUGUGACUUUAAGCCUUUGGCAUUGUGCUCCCUGUUUCACGUUGCUGUUUUGUUUCACUGAUGCUUUAAUGAAGGGUCUCUUUGUAGUUGACGUAUGAAACAAUAUACUAAAAGCCAUUGUUUCAUUUUUUUUCUUUUGAAGGUUCAUUUGUUUGUUACAUAAUUGUUGUUAAACUUUAAAAUUUCAUUCAUUAGGAGUUGACAGUUCAUUUUACACAGAAAAUAAUUGCUUGCACUAAUUCAUAAGGUUUUACAAACACACGUAGGCAAACACCGCACGUCCUCUGCCCAUAAAUCUGCCAUGGUGGUCUGCGAGCCCUCGGAGCACUGGAGUGGUGAAUUUUCCAUUUAUGAACUGAUGGUGGAGGGACAAAGUAUAGGCACAGGGAUCCCAUCAGUUGUCCAGUACAGUUUAGGAACCCCAUGUUUGCAAAGCCAUCAACCACUGGAGCAUUGCCAAGCUUUAUAACCCAGUACAACCAUAUCUUUUCCCCUGGCAUCACAUCUCCAUGACAAUGGUUGAUAGCAAGCCAAUUUGGCAUGGAGAUAUAGACUGGAAACAUUAUGGGGUGGCCAUCUUCCAAAUGGCAGUUGUGAUCUGCUUGCCCAUGUAUAGGGCACCAUAUGUUGGUAUACUGCCACUGUAGUUUUGGGAUUAGUUCAGCCCACAUUUCCAAAAAGUUUGCCUUCCCUAUCCUGAAAUUCUCUUGCCAUUGCUGGUCAUCUUGACUCUGCAGACCAAUUCUUUCCUAUCAAUCUGUGCUGGUUUCUGGAGCCCUGAAACAGCUCUGCACUCUGUGAAGCUGCUCUAGGAACCAGUUCUUUAUCAUCAAUUGUUUAGUGUCUUCCUCAUCUGUGUCCCAUUGUAUAGCAGCUGGAAGAGCUGCUGCUGUCACAUUUUGAUGCAGCAAGCAAAGCCCCAAGUCAAAUUCAUCCCAUGUUGAGUGAUAAAGUACCUAGAUACUGGUUGGGCUGUAGUAGAGGUUACCACUGUAAUGGCACAGAGCCUUGCAGCUGACCACAAUUCAAAAAUGGUGGUAGCCCACCUGUAAGGGAAGUAUGGGGUGGACACAGCUGGAUCAUGGGAUUUUUUUAAAAAAAUGUGAACUGGGCUGGUUUCUGCUAUACAUCCCACUGUGCACAGUGCAAAAAAAAAAAAAUCCAGAGUGCACACUGCUCAUCAGUAAAGUAAAGGAGUGUGAGAUGCCUUCUGACGAUACCAUACCUUCAGUUUUCAGCAAACUGCUGUUGUGUGUACACAGUGGUGUGCAUUGAUAGAGGGCACAUUUUCCUAUACGUGCUAUUACUGCAGCUUGUGUACUGUACGUUACCUGAUGCUCAGUAAAAUCUGUAGAUUAACUCCCUAAGCCUAUGCAGAUGAGCCCAUAGUCCCUGAUCUAAGGGCUCACAAUCUAUUCUAUCUUCUUAUGUGUGCCUUGCAUAAUGGGGCCCUGAUUGAGGCCCCUAGGUACUAUUGCCAUAUAAUAAAUAAUAGUAAUUAUAAUAAUUACAAAGUGAGAUGUUGGUGUUCAGAUUCUAGAUGGGAUAAGUGCCAAAAUAUCAUAUUGGGCUGUUCUCUUAACACUUUCCACAAUGAUGGAAGUCAAAGUGACAGAAAUUUCAUGAGAAAGUCUAUUACUAGAAGAUUUCAACCUGAUUUUGGACACUUUAAGGUUCAGAGAAUCUUUGAACAAACAUUUGAACUGGUACAAACUAAGUUCAGUUACCAAACUUUUGAGGUUCAUCCAUCCCUAAUCUUAACAUGGAAAAAAAAAACCCUCUCUCAUGCCAUUACUGGCAGUUUUCCAGUUGCACUUGAACUGAACAUCAUUGACUGUAUACAAGUUAUACCCUGAAAAAGGUUACUUGAGAGACUUCUAAGUUGACCAAAGAACAAAAACUAUGGUGUCUCUUUCAUGGAGACUAGCCCACUGGACAAUGCAUGGAAAUUUUCCAAAGCACCAAUGCGAGCUAGGCACCUAACUCACUUAGGUGUUUUUCAAAACUCCACCUCAAAUAACUUAGCA